CUCGAAUACAUUAGCAUGGAAUAAUAGAAUAGGACGUGUGGUUCUAUUUUGUUGGUUUCUAGGACCGCCGUAAUGAUUAAUAGGGACAGUCGGGGGCAUCAGUAUUCAAUUGUCAGAGGUGAAAUUCUUGGAUCUAUUGAAGACUAACUACUGCGAAAGCAUUUGCCAAGGAUGUUUUCAUUGAUAAGGAACGAAAGUUAGGGGAUCGAAGACGAUCAGAUACCGUCGUAGUCUUAACUAUAAACUAUGCCGACUAGGGAUCGGACGAUGUUAUUCUUUGACGCGUUCGGCACCUUUCGAGAAAUCAAAGUGCUUGGGCUCCAGGGGGAGUAUGGUCGCAAGGCUGAAACUUAAAGA
rnacentral:rRNA from 1 species